rnacentral:lncRNA from 1 species
AUUUAAAUUGAAGCUUAUGUCGUAUGUCGUAUAUGAAUGUUUCUUGCAGUUGGUCGACAUGUUACUCCUCGGGUUCAGGGUUUCAAUUCAGUCCCCUCAACAUGGGAUUAGUGUUAGAACUAUGAUGUUUAUUGAUUAAGAUCCACCCAACCACCCCUCUUAGAUUUCACAAGUCGAAGUGCUAAGCCAAUUACAAUCUCUCUCAAUCAAGGGUAAGCCCAAGACUCUCUAACUGACUGCUAUCCUCUCUCACUUGAGUCCCCUUGUAUACCAAGGCCCAAGUACAAUCUCUUUAUUUUCUAGUACUCGUAACAGAAUAAUUCCACGUCAUCAAACUCUAACGGCCAACACUCUAUUCUUCCUCCUCUCCCUUGUUCUCCCUUUCUCUUCUCUUCCUCACAUACACUCUCUGUAGCAUAUCAAUACCCCCGUUCACGAGUUUCAGUUUGUCCUCAAGUGAAAAAGUUGGAAAAUGAUGUUUCACCUCGCUAGCUUUCAACCAAGACAUCUCAUGAUCCGAAAGAUUACGCCAUUUGAUCAACACUUCCAAGUGGCACUCUUCAUCAUAACGAGUAUCAUGAAUCUCCACUGGUUCAAUAACCAACUCACC